UACGUAGGGUGCAAGCGUUGUCCGGAAUUAUUGGGCGUAAAGAGCUUGUAGGCAGUUUGUCGCGUCUGCUGUGAAAUUUCGGGGCUCAACCCCGAACUUGCAGUGGGUACGGGCAGACUAGAGUGUGGUAGGGGAGACUGGAAUUCCUGGUGUAGCGGUGAAAUGCGCAGAUAUCAGGAGGAACACCGAUGGCGAAGGCAGGUCUCUGGGCCACUACUGACGCUGAGAAGCGAAAGCAUGGGGAGCGAACAGG
rnacentral:rRNA from 1 species